GGAUUAGAUACCCUGGUAGUCCACGCCGUAAACGAUGUCGACUAGCCGUUGGGAUCCUUGAGAUCUUAGUGGCGCAGCUAACGCGAUAAGUCGACCGCCUGGGGAGUACGGCCGCAAGGUUAAAACUCAAAUGAAUUGACGGGGGCCCGCACAAGCGGUGGAGCAUGUGGUUUAAUUCGAAGCAACGCGAAGAACCUUACCUGGCCUUGACAUGCUGAGAACUUUCCAGAGAUGGAUUGGUGCCUUCGGGAGCUCAGACACAGGUGCUGCAUGGCUGUCGUCAGCUCGUGCUG
rnacentral:rRNA from 1 species